UGUAGGUGUGUAUGGCGAGGGCCGGUAGCUUGGUUAUGGAGGUGUGUGUAGGUGUGUAUGGGAGGGCCGGUAGCUUGGUUAUGGAGGUGUGUGUAUGGGAGGGCCGG